UACUAUAAAUUUCCAGGUUUCUGACGGCUCUAAUUAUUUAUUUUCACUUUUUCGCACAGAUCAGUCUAUAGUGAAGAUGAAAUUUCUUUUUGCAGUUUUUAUAAUUUCAACUUUUGUUUUCUCAGGUAAGAACUGUUUAUCAGUUAAAGACUUGUGCAUAUAUAUAAUUAAAAUAUAGUUUCUACAGUUUUCUAUUAAUUAAUGUGGACUAUCCCGAACAUUGCUGGGAUAGCUUGAGUAGCUGGGCAGCUUGGUUAACACACAGCACACAAAACCCAUGAUUAAUUGCAAAGUAUUUCAUUGCCAUUGGUCAAGACUUGUUCACGACAGCCACGGGCAAAUAUAGUGGAAACUAGACAUUAAGAAAUAUAAAAGACAAUUUUAAACAAAAAAGUCUUCAAACGUAUUUUAUUCAGUGUGUUCUCAGGAAUUCAAAGGUACGAAGGCUACCCAAUAAUAUAUGUACCACUUGAAGCGGAACUGAAAUGCAUGGUUUAAGUAUAACUUGGCACUGUAUUGUGUUCAACUGACAUAUGGAAUUAUUCAUCAUUGAAUCAACUAUUAAACUUUUCUGGCGUGUUAGGUUAAAAAAGAAUGCUCAAUUAAGAUGUUUUCAUAAUAUGUAAAAUAAUAUGAUUCUGUCAUUUGGAAGAUGUUUUAAAAGGAAUAGGGACAAAUCUUUUCUCCUAUUCUACAUUUCAUCCAGUAGCAAUGGCUAACUGGGUUGCAUUGUUACUGAAUAUACUUUUUAAUAUAACUGAUUAAUGUAUUCUGUUCUGUCUUAGGCCAUGCUGCGUCUUAUUGGACUAACUGGCUGGACCGAGAUAAUCCUUCAGGCUAUGGGGACUAUGAAACGUACAGUUCUUUUGUG